AACCCCACUACAGGCUUAGCCUCAGUUGUAGGAGGAGAGGCCCAUGCCAUCCAAUAGUUACUGGCUAUCUGUAAUACUUGGAAGAGUGACUGCGCCAGGAGUAUGAUAGGGACCAAGGCCCCACCUUUCACUGUAGUCAGGGAAAUAUUAUGUUCAGAGUCAUGCUGACCACUAUAAAGCCCUGUAUUUGAGGUGGGUUCAACAUCAACUUCUCCAUCAGACAGGAGCCUUUCGGAUGUUCUGCUUGAAUUUUCCACCAUCAUAAUUGACUCUAGAGCUUCGCUGUGUGCACCAACUAAAACUUCAAAUCCUAUGUUCUGUUUUAGUAGUUCUUCAAACCUUCCUGCCUGUUUGACCCUUCCAUCUUGCAUCACCUGUUAAUAUCAUUAUCUGUCAUUGUUGGUACUUCUUAUAAUAGUAGAUACUUCAGAUAUUUUGUUUUAAGAAAUGGAGAAAAAUAGGGUAAGUUAUGCUG